GAUGAACGCUAGCGGCAGGCUUAAUACAUGCAAGUCGAGGGGCAGCAUGAGUGUAGCAAUACAUUUGAUGGCGACCGGCAAACGGGUGCGGAACACGUACACAACCUUCCUAUAAGUGGGGAAUAGCCCAGAGAAAUUUGGAUUAAUACCCCGUAACAUAAUGAUGUGGCAUCACAUUAUUAUUAUAGCUUCGGCGCUUAUUGAUGGGUGUGCGGCUGAUUAGAUAGUUGGCGGGGUAACGGCCCACCAAGUCUACGAUCAGUAGCUGAUGUGAGAGCAUGAUCAGCCACACGGGCACUGAGACACGGGCCCGACUCCUACGGGAGGCAGCAGUAAGGAAUAUUGGUCAAUGGACGCAAGUCUGAACCAGCCAUGCCGCGUGAAGGAUUAAGGUCCUCUGGAUUGUAAACUUCUUUUAUCUGGGACGAAAAAAGGCGAUUCUUCGUCACUUGACGGUACCAGAUGAAUAAGCACCGGCUAACUCCGUGCCAGCCGCCGCCGUAAGAC
rnacentral:rRNA from 1 species